AGUGAACGCUGGCGGUAGGCCUAACACAUGCAAGUCGAACGGCAGCACAGUAAGAGCUUGCUCUUACGGGUGGCGAGUGGCGGACGGGUGAGAAAUACAUCGGAAUCUACUUUUUCGUGGGGGAUAACGUAGGGAAACUUACGCUAAUACCGCAUACGACCUACGGGUGAAAGCAGGGGAUCUUCGGACCUUGCGCGAUUGAAUGAGCCGAUGUCGGAUUAGCUAGUUGGCGGGGUAAAGGCCCACCAAGGCGACGAUCCGUAGCUGGUCUGAGAGGAUGAUCAGCUACACUGGAACUGAGACACGGUCCAGACUCCUACGGGAGGCAGCAGUGGGGAAUAUUGGACAAUGGGCGCAAGCCUGAUCCAGCCAUACCGCGUGGGUGAAGAAGGCCUUCGGGUUGUAAAGCCCUUUUGUUGGGAAAGAAAAGCAGCAGGUUAAUACCCCGCUGUUCUGACGGUACCCAAAGAAUAAGCACCGGCUAACUUCGUG
rnacentral:rRNA from 1 species